UAGGGAAUAUUGCAAAAUGGGCGAAAGCCCGAUGCAGCAACGCCGCGUGGGCGAUGAAGGCCUUCGGGUCGUAAAGCCCUUUUUGAGGGGAUGAGGAAGGACAGUACCCUCAGAAUAAGCCUCGGCUAACUACGUGCCAGCAGCCGCGGUAAAACGUAGGAGGCGAGCGUUAUCCGGAUUUACUGGGCGUAAAGCGCGUGCAGGCGGAUUGGAGAGUUGGAUGUGAAAGCUCCCGGCUUAACUGGGAGAGGUCGUUCAAUACUUCCAGUCUUGAGUGCAGUAGAGGGAAGUGGAAUUCCGGGUGUAGUGGUGAAAUGCGUAUAUAUCCGGAGGAACACCAGUGGCGAAAGCGGCUUCCUGGACUGUAACUGACGCUCAGACGCGAAGGCUAGGGUAGCAAACG
rnacentral:rRNA from 1 species